UGUGAAAAGUGGGAUGGAGAU
rnacentral:miRNA from 1 species